ensembl:ncRNA T06H11.15 ncRNA
GCCACAUCGUUUAUGAUGUUUCUUCUCAACUCGAAACAUAUACCCCCAUAUUUUGUCGGACAUAUUCUUCCAUUCUUAGACGUCGUUUUCUCGUUUUCUCAAUGACGAUCUGACGGCAGUGUAGAGCAUCUAGACUUGUCUUCUUCAUCUGGCUGCCCACUUCCUCUCCCGCCACCAAUUUUUUGACCCCUUCUUUUUCCUCUCUUUCUCU